ensembl:lncRNA
GGGAAAAAAAAAAGGAAAAAAAAAAGAAAGGAAGAAAAAAGAUACCCGCGAGAUCGAAACGCAAGCAACUGAACAGAAAGCUGACUGUGCACGGAGAUGAUGAAAAAUCCACGUACCUCACUGUGCCCGCGCGGCCGGGAGAAGUGUGGGUGAGCCCGCUGAGUGUGCACGCAGGGCAGGAAACGUGUGCGGGUACUGAAAACAAAGGGGCGACAGAAAAGGCUCCGAGGGGCUCGGGGAGGUCGGGCCCGAAGCAGCCGGAGGGGUUCGACGGGGCCGGGCCGGGCUCGGGGAGAGCCGCGGUCGUUCCCCGCGUGGGUGCGGGUCGGGGCGCGGGCACCGCCGUGCGUGGGGUGGGCAGCUGUGGCGUUGGGUCGCGUUCUUUCCGCUGCCGAAACAAAGGCGGUGCGGCGGCGGAGCAGGUGGGGGGGACAGGACGGGGGCAGGUAGGGUCCCGCUGCUGGAGAGAGAGGUUCCUCUCGUGGGCCGAGCCGGGAUUCGGCUCGGGAGGAGAGAGCCGGGAGAGAGCGGUUCUGGGGGAAAUCGCUCUGUGCCUUCGGGGGGUCUCCGGGCAGAGUCGGGAGCGAAUUUUAUGAUUAAUAAUAAUACCAAUAAUAAACAUUACGAUGAAACCCACCGCUCCGUAGCGGCGGUGGCGGCAAGCGAGGGACCGCCGAAGGGAAGCGGCCGAGAGGCGAUCCCGGGGCCGUCUCCCCCCACGGCCGCCGUCGGGGCCGCGCCGUCGAGGCGUGAGCUCGGCCGCCCGCCGCCCCUCGGGGCUGUCCCCAGGUCGCGUUCGGGGCCGGGCGGGGAGGUUUGGGAACGUCUGGUGCGGCGUGAGAGAAGAAGAGAAACGGGAGCGGGAGGAGGAGAGGGGGCAAAGCGGGGCUCCGGCUCCCCGAGGCCGGGCCACCCUCGCACGGGGAGGAAGAAGGCUCCGGGCCGCACCCCCGCACCCCGAGCCCGAUGAAUUACUGCCCUGUGCCUUAAUCGUGGCGAGGCCGGGCCGGGGUCAGGGCCUGAGGGAGGCGGGCGGAGAGAGGGGGCUGCAGGCGGGACUCGCCGGGGCCAAGUUCAAGUUCAGGGGCAGCCCGGAGAGGACGUGGCGGGGGGAUGCUCGUGUGGGUCCGCCCGCUCCGACCUCCGCUGGCACUGAGCGGGGAUGAGCGGUGACCCCGGGCCCCGCGGCCGGCACUGCCCCGGCCCGGGGAUGGAGCGGGGCAAGAACGUAAACGGAUGUUAACGGCCGUUUGAUCGCUCGGGAGCCCGCGCUACGCGGGGGAUGGCCGAGGUGGGAGAGGCGCGGUUGCAGAGGACGCUGCGGUCCCGCUCCGCGCCCCAACCUUGCGGCGGCACCGAGAUGAAGGGCCCCUCUUCUCCCUCCACCCCCUCCUCCCCUCGCCCAGCGUCUGGGGAACGAGCCCGAAGCGAGCAGGGCGCCGCGUACCCCCGCUUAUCUUAUUCUCGUGGCUCGGGACGCCUCUGCCUUUCCCUGAGCGCGGGGCGCAGAGCCCGAAAACCAAACCGAAGCCGGGACGGGGGAGGUCCGCGGGCGACGCCGGACACCGAAAGGCCCUCCCGUGCCCACCGCCUCCCCCCGUGGCGUUGCGGGCCCGGCGCGGGCGGCCC